rnacentral:rRNA from 1 species
AAAUUGAAGAGUUUGAUCAUGGCUCAGAUUGAACGCUGGCGGCAGGCCUAACACAUGCAAGUCGAACGGUAACAGGAAGCAGCUUGCUGCUUUGCUGACGAGUGGCGGACGGGUGAGUAAUGUCUGGGAAACUGCCUGAUGGAGGGGGAUAACUACUGGAAACGGUGGCUAAUACCGCAUAACGUCGCAAGACCAAAGAGGGGGACCUUCGGGCCUCUUGCCAUCGGAUGUGCCCAGAUGGGAUUAGCUGGUUGGUGAGGUAACGGCUCACCAAGGCGACGAUCCCUAGCUGGUCUGAGAGGAUGACCAGCCACACUGGAACUGAGACACGGUCCAGACUCCUACGGGAGGCAGCAGUGGGGAAUAUUGCACAAUGGGCGCAAGCCUGAUGCAGCCAUGCCGCGUGUAUGAAGAAGGCCUUCGGGUUGUAAAGUACUUUCAGCGGGGAGGAAGGUGUUGUGGUUAAUAACCGCAGCAAUUGACGUUACCCGCAGAAGAAGCACCGGCUAACUCCGUGCCAGCAGCCGCGGUAAUACGGAGGGUGCAAGCGUUAAUCGGAAUUACUGGGCGUAAAGCGCACGCA